rnacentral:rRNA from 1 species
GGACCCGCACAAGCGGUGGAUGAUGUGGUUUAAUUCGAUGCAACGCGAAAAACCUUACCUACCCUUGACAUGCCAGGAAUCCUGCAGAGAUGUGGGAGUGCUCGAAAGAGAGCCUGGACACAGGUGCUGCAUGGCCGUCGUCAGCUCGUGUCGUGAGAUGUUGGGUUAAGUCCCGCAACGAGCGCAACCCUUGUCAUUAGUUGCUACGAAAGGGCACUCUAAUGAGACUGCCGGUGACAAACCGGAGGAAGGUGGGGAUGACGUCAGGUCCUCAUGGCCCUUAUGGGUAGGGCUACACACGUCAUACAAUGGCCGGUACAGAGGGUUGCCAACCCGCGAGGGGGAGCUAAUCUCAGAAAACCGGUCGUAGUCCGGAUCGCAGUCUGCAACUCGACUGCGUGAAGUCGGAAUCGCUAGUAAUCGCGGAUCAGCAUGUCGCGGUGAAUACGUUCCCGGGUCUU